GAGCAUAUGAUGACCUAAAUGAUCAAUACUGAGAUUUAUCUCAAUGAAGUUUUGGAUAAAUCGAGCUUUUUAAAACUGAUGCUCA